UUUUAUUUAGUCCCAUUGCAAGUUUAGAAAUAGUGUCUUCGGCUACGAAAGUAAUUUUUUAGCUAACAAACACAGCGGUUCCUAAACCUUGUAUUGUAGUAACGACCAAAAACAAGAAGUAGCACUUAAACUAACGGCAAAACAUCAAUAUUCAGAUCUAUCUGUUUAUAUGCAAGGAGACAAACACAUGCUGCACAACUUUUUUCUCAAAAAAACAAGAUCAGGUAAAUUUGAUCUCCACAGCAAGAAGUGCCUAACAACAAUAACCAAAAAAUGACAAAUACUCCAUAGAAGAGUUAAUCCACUCAUUGAUUUCUACAAUUGAUUUCUGUUAAGCCAAACAAAAUUGCAAAUCAAACUCUCCACCAGCUUGCUCAUAAUUCAAAAUUUACAGCUUUUCCUGGCUUUCACAUGAACAGCAGGCACAUUACUACUAACCUGUUCAGCACCAUCGUCCCGACCAACUUAGUCACGCUACUUGCUCCCUUGAGAACCCAACCUCAGAUUCAGUUGUAACUUGCAUGAAUACAAAAGCAGACAGUGUAAACAUAUUUACAGGCUAAUAUAGCAUCUCACCACUUCACCGUUAUCUAAAUUGCAUUAUCCCACACUGUGGUGUGCAUUUACUCUUACAAGUGAAUCAAAGUUAUACCACAACACCUUAGUUCACAGAUGACAUUUUGGAUAUAAAUUGUAGUACUAUAUUU
rnacentral:lncRNA from 1 species